UAAGGGUUAUUAAGUUAUUAUUAUUAUGGAUUAGUGAGUUUAAAUUGUUAAAAAAAUAUUUAUGUGUUAGUGUAUUAAUUAAUGAAUUAAUAAUUUUGAUGAUAGUGAAUUUAUACUGUAAGGGAUUUUUGGAAUAUAAAUUAUAAUGUAUAUGUAAAGUAUAAUUUAUUUUUAGUACCUUGUGUAUCAGGAUUAAUUAAUUAAUUAUUAUUGAAUUUAAUUAUCUCGAUUUCUUAUGAGUUAAAUAAUUAUUUUAUUUAUUGUAAAAUAAAUAUUAUUAAUAAUUAUUUGGGAGUGAAAUUUUAUUCGUUUAAGAUUAUAUCUAGUUUUUAGGGAAAUAAAUUGAAUUUAUAUUUAUUCUUUAAUAGGUUUUAUUAAUAAACUUUUUUUAGUUUAUAUAAAUAGUUAAGGGGAUUAGCUCUUAGUUAAAUUUUUAUAAAGGUGUAGAUAAUUAAAUUAUAAUGGAUUUAUUGAUGAUUUUUACUUAGAAUAUAUUAAAAUUCUAAUUUUGUUUAUAAUUAAUUUUUUUUUCUUUUAAUUAUUUACUUAAAUAUUAUAUUUAAUAUUUAUAUAUAAUUAAUAAUGAUUAAAUUAGUAUAAUAAUUAUUAUUUUUUAAUUUUAAUUUAAUUUAAGGAAUUAGGCAAGAUUUAUAUUAUUCGCCUGUUUAACAAAAACAUCUCUUUUUGUAAAAUUUAUAAGGUAUAACCUGCCCACUGAAAAUUUUAAUGGCCGCGGUAUUUUGACCGUGCAAAGGUAGCAUAAUCAUUAGUCUUUUAAUUGAAGGCUGGAAUGAAUGGUUGGACGAAAUAAUAACUGUCUUAAGUUAAUUAUUUUGAAUUUAAUUUUUAGGUUAAAAAGCUUAAAUUUAUUUAUGGGACGAGAAGACCCUAUAGAAUUUAAAUAUAUAAUUGUAUUUAUAGGAGUUUGUUAAUAAGAUGAUACUAUUAUAUAUUUUGUUGGGGUGAUGGGAAGAAAAAAUUAACUCUUUUUUAAAUGUUAAUAUAAAUUAAUAAAUUUUUGAUCCAUUAUUAUUGAUUAAAAGUCUAAAUUACCUUAGGGAUAACAGCGUAAUCUUUUUUGAGAGUUCUAAUCGACAAAUAAGGAUUGCGACCUCGAUGUUGGAUUAAGAAUAUAAUUAGGUGUAGAAGCUUAAAUUUGUAGGUCUGUUCGACCUUUAAAUUCUUACAUGAUCUGAGUUCAAACCGGCGUGAGCCAGGUUGGUUUCUAUCUAUUAAAAAAUAAAAUGUUUUAGUACGAAAGGACCAAAUAUUUAAAAUAAUUUUUUUUGUAGAAUAUUAAUAAAUGU
rnacentral:rRNA from 1 species